rnacentral:rRNA from 1 species
UACGUAGGGUGCAAGCGUUGUCCGGAAUUAUUGGGCGUAAAGGGCGCGUAGGCGGCCAUUCAAGUGACGGGUGAAAGCCCUCGGCUUAACCGAGGAACUGCCUGUCAGACUGGAUGGCUUGAGACCGGGAGAGGUGAGUGGAACUGCGAGUGUAGAGGUGAAAUUCGUAGAUAUUCGCAAGAACACCAGUGGCGAAGGCGGCUCACUGGCCCGGUACUGACGCUGAGGUGCGAAAGCGUGGGGAGCAAACAGG